UGAGCAACCUACCUUCAGCUUUGGGAUAACCCUCGGAAACGGGGCUAAUACCGGAUAUUCAUUGCUUCGCGCAUGUGGGGUGGUGGAAAGUUCUUCGGCUGGGGAUGGGCUCGCGGCCUAUCAGCUUGUUGGUGGGUNAUGGCCUACCAAGGCACGACGGGUANCUGGUCUGAGAGGAUGGCCAGCCACAUUGGGACUGAGACACGGUCCAGACUCCUACGGGAGCA
rnacentral:rRNA from 1 species